GGCGGUGUAUGGCACACAGGGUCAGGUUCGACUCCUGGGCAGUCCGAGGAUUGCGACCGUGGGGAAAGUAAGAGGGUGCCGGUUCGAGUCCGGCCGCCGCCUGA
rnacentral:tRNA from 1 species